GGAAUAUUGGACAAUGGGGGAAACCCUGAUCCAGCCAUGCCGCGUGUGUGAAGAAGGCCUUUUGGUUGUAAAGCACUUUAAGCAGUGAAGAAGACUCUUCGGUUAAUACCCGGAGACGAUGACAUUAGCUGCAGAAUAAGCACCGGCUAACUCUGUGCCAGCAGCCGCGGUAAUACAGAGGGUGCAAGCGUUAAUCGGAAUUACUGGGCGUAAAGCGAGCGUAGGUGGCUUGAUAAGUCAGAUGUGAAAUCCCCGGGCUUAACCUGGGAACUGCAUCUGAUACUGUCAGGCUAGAGUAGGUGAGAGGAAGGUAGAAUUCCAGGUGUAGCGGUGAAAUGCGUAGAGAUCUGGAGGAAUACCGAUGGCGAAGGCAGCCUUCUGGCAUCAUACUGACACUGAGGCUCGAAAGCGUGGGUAGCAAACAGGAUUAGAUACCCCAG
rnacentral:rRNA from 1 species